rnacentral:tRNA from 1 species
UCCCUUGUAGCUCAGUCGGUAAAGAAUCUGCCUGCAGUGCAGGAGACCUGGGUUUGAUUCCUGGGUUGGGAA